GGAAAGAUGCGUUGCGUUUUCGAGGUUGUAUUCAUCAUGAUUCAUGGGUCAAUUUGAUUCCCUAAUCUUCUAACUUUUUCUCACAAAACAAAAACAAGAAAACAAGGGGUUCCCAAUUCCAUUUCUAUAUUAUAGUCAUAGGCUACCUAUUGCAAAAACCAUUCUUGAUCAGCCAAAUUAAUAAAGCAAAAACUCAAAGGAGAUGACCAAAUUCGAGGUGGUGUUCAUGACAAGCCCUGGGAUCGGGCACCUUGUUCCAGUUGUUGAGUUUGCACACCAUCUUAUCGAUCAUGACCCUCGAUUUUCUGCCACCAUACUCACCGUAACCAUGCCUCAGAGACCCAUUCUCAACACCUACAUCCAAUCACGCGCUGCCACUUCAACCUCCACAAAUAUCAAAUUCAUCCACCUCCCUAUUGUAGACCCUCCCACACCUGAUCAGUACGAGUCUUCCUUUGGCUACUCAUGCUUACUCAUUGAAAAGCAUAGACCCCAUGUUAAGCAAGCGAUCACCAACCUCAUGGAAACCGAGUUGGACUCAGACCGACGACUCGUCGGUAUCAUCACAGACAUGUUUUGUACUUCCAUGAUCGAUGUAGCCAACGAGCUUGACAUCCCUUGCUACGUUUUCUUUCCAUCUACAGCUACGUUUCUCGGUUUCAUGCUUCAUCUUCCAAUCUUAGACACCCAACUCACCACUGAGUUGGCUAAGUUGGACACUGAGUUGGUCAUUCCGAGUUUUGCUAAUCCAGUUUCUCCGAGCUUGUUGCCUUCUAUAGCAUUGGAGAAAGAAGGGUACUCUUGGUUUUUGCACCACGGAAGCAGGUACUUUGAAACAAUGGGUAUUAUUAUUAAUACAUUUCAUGACCUUGAGCCUUAUGCACUUAAUUCGGUCUCUACGAGUUAAGUACCACCAAUCUAUCCCAUUGGGCCUAUUCUUGACCUUGUUGGUCCGGCCCAAUGGUACCCAGACCAAGCCAACCAUGAACGAAUCAUGAAGUGGCUUGAUGACCAACCUCCAUCAACAGUGGUAUUCUUAAGCUUUGGUAGCCUAGGGUGUCUCAGUGAGUCUCAAGUGAGAGAGAUUGCAUUUGGGCUUGAACUAGCCGAGGUUCGGUUUGUCUGGGCUUUACGUGAGCCAUCUAAGGCCAAAUUUGCCCUCCCGGAUGACUCUACGAGUCUUGAGAAAGUUUUACCGAAUGGGUUUUUGGAGCGAACGACUGGGAUUGGAUUGGUGUGUGGAUGGGUCUCACAAGUGUCAAUUCUAGCUCAUAAAGCAAUUGGAGGAUUCAUAUCACAUUGUGGUUGGAAUUCAAUUUUGGAAAGCUUGUGGCAUGGUAUACCAAUUGCCACAUGGCCAAUUUAUUCUGAACAACAGAUGAAUGCAUUCGAGAUGGUAAAGGAGUUGGGAUUAGCUAUUGAGAUAAGGUUAGAUUAUAGGAAGGGUAGUGAUUUGGUGUUGGCAAAGGAAAUAGAGAGAGGAAUAAAGCAAUUGAUGGACUGUGAUGAUGAGGUGAGGAGAAAAGUAAAGGAAAUGAGCAAAAAGUGUAGGGUGGCUAAGAUGGAAAAUGGAUCAUCAUAUGCGUCACUAGGAGUACUGAUUGAGAAACUAGUGACUUCAUAAUUCAAAUGGGCUCACUUUCUAUUUUUAUGAAAUGAAUUGCAAUAUGUUUUUGUAUGUAUUCACUUUUUAAUCUUUA